GGUGGCAAGUGGCGGACGGGUGAGUAAUGCGCAGGAAUAUGCCUUAAAGUGGGGGACAACUUGGGGAAACUCAAGCUAAUACCGCAUACGCCCUACGGGGGAAAGGAGGGGAUCUUCGGACCUUUCGCUAUGAGAUGAGCCUGCGUUAGAUUAGCUAGUUGGUAGGGUAAAGGCCUACCAAGGCGACGAUCUAUAGCUGGUCUGAGAGGACGAUCAGCCACACUGGGACUGAGACACGGCCCAGACUCC
rnacentral:rRNA from 1 species